rnacentral:rRNA from 1 species
ACUUAAAAUUUAAAAAAUUUGGCGGCAAUUUAAUCUUUUCAGAGGAACCUGUUUUAGAAUCGAUAAACCACGAAGAAUCUUACUUGUCUUUGUAAAACAGUUUGUAUACCAUCAUUGUCAGAUAAUUCUUAGAAGAAAAAUUAUUGAAUAUAAUUAAUUAGAGAAAUUAGAUCAUGGUGCAGUCUAUAGGCAAGGUAAAAUGGGUUACAAUAAAUUACUUUAUUGCGGAUUAAUAAAAUAAUUUUGUUAUGAAGAGGGAUUUGAUUGUAUUAAAAGUUUAAUAAGCUAAUAAGAUAUAAGUUCUAAAUUGUGUACAUAUCGCCCGUCGCUCGCGGGAAAA